UGUACACGUAUGCGUCUGUCUGACCCGUUGUGGCGCCCUCUGCUGAUUGGCUGUUCGUACAGGUGUGGAACAGGAGAUGGGGGCGGAGCCACACAGGACCUUCUGAAACUCUCUGAGGCUAACUCUGCCAUCCAGGCGGUGGGCGGGGCUUCACCUGAGCGCUGAGCUGUGGCAGACCCAUGUGUUCACACACCGCCGCCAGGACACCUCCUCCCACUAUGGCGAGCUGCACCUCCUCCUGCUGCGAACCUGCAGAACAUGUGACAUUAAACUUCUGACCAAUCAGCUGCUGCCACAGUGCAGAAGGACCAAUCAGAGCUCAAGGGAACGGUAAACAUCCAAACAUGCUUACAGUAGAAUUUUCACUAUAAACCAGAGGCGACCAUAUUUCAUUUUAAAAUUAUUGUUAAGGGUUAGUGAUAUUCUGUUGUAUUUUUUGUAGUUUUUCUUUUCUCUUCUGUGUAUGGGUAUGUUUUUCUCUGUCUCUCUCUCCUUGCAGAUUGUGUUUUGAGUGAGGAUGAGUUGCAGGUGUGGAGCUGGAGCGCUCUGUGAUGAUUGGUUCCUCAGCGGCAAGUAUUCAAAGAAAUCCCAGACAGGACUCUGCUCAUUUCUCCCAACUUCAAUUUCUACGUUUCCAGGUAGAGUGGGGAUGAGAGGCCAAUUCUAAAUGACAAGUGACGAGAAAUGAUGGAUGGUGAAGUGCCGUAUAGUGCCACGAGCUAAAAUUGCUCGAGCAAAAUAAACCGAUUUCAUAUCAGUCCGACAUUGAGAAAAAAAAAAUGAAGGGAAUUUUAUCCAUAAUUUCUAUAUGUAUUAGGUAGUUUUGUAAGAACAUAAUACAGUUUUAAUUAGUUUUUUUUUUUCUUUUAAUUAUAGUUUUUAUUUAUUUCAAUUAACGAAAAUGUUUUUUCAAUUCUAGUUUUCGUCAACGAUAAUAACCUUGCUCAGCGGUGAGCGGGAAAAUAUAAAGCUGAAUCACCCUACUUCCUGUGGACUCCUCUCUUCCCAUCCCCCUUGUUUGAGCAGCAGUCUGUAGUUUUGUUUGGAGAGCUUCUUUUUGCGAUCAGACUCAAAAGGCGGGAAUCUUUUCUUUAAGUUUUCUCCUGUUUCUCUUGGUUAGGAGUCUAGGUAAGAAUAAUGUAAUUUGGUUUUUCUUGGUUUAUGUUGGUAGGUAAGCAUAGUGGGCUUAAGGUAUUAUUCUGUUUGUUAUUUUUGUUACUUUGAUUCCCUUCCUGAUUUCAUUUUUUUUCUGUUCUUGUAUAAAUAAAUAUCUCAAAUUGCAGCUUGGUUGAUUGCUGGUCAUUUCUUUUGUAACUUGCUCUUUUUUGUUAAGGGACAUGGAAGGAGGGGAGUCUCACAUCAUGUUUGCAUCUCAGUAACCCCUAGACCGGGGGUGUCAAACUCAUUUUAGUGCAGGGGCCACA